rnacentral:rRNA from 1 species
GAGCGCCGUAGCAAUACGGAGCGGCAGACGGGAGAGUAACACGUGGGAACGUGCCCUUCAGUUCGGAACAACCCAGGGAAACUUGGGCUAAUACCAGAUACGUCCGUAAGGAGAAAGAUUUAUCGCUGAAGGAUCGGCCCGCGUCUGAUUAGCUAGUUGGUGAGGUAACGGCUCACCAAGGCGACGAUCAGUAGCUGGUCUGAGAGGACGGCCAGCCACACUGGCACUGAAAUACGGGCCAGACUCCUACGGGAGGCAGCAGUGGGGAAUUUUGGGCAAUGGGCGCAAGCCUGACCCAGCAACGCCGCGUGAGGGAGGAAAUCCUUCGGGAUGUAAACCUC